rnacentral:misc_RNA from 1 species
AAGUCGUAACAAGGUUUCCGUAGGUGAACCUGCGGAAGGAUCAUUACUGUUUGUAGUUCUCCGUGCCCUAAACGGCCGGUUGACACGCAAUCCGCUCAACUCCGCCGCGCGGCAAAGCCGAAAGGCGAACCCGUUCGGUGCGAUUAGAGUACCAACCCUUUGUGAACCACUACUACAUUUUUGCUUCGGCAGCGCGCCGGAGGUUAACUCUCUCCGGCGGUAAGGCUGCCGACAGCCCAUCUUAUUAAACUAUUUUUCUGAUGCCCCAGCGGUAUUGUAUGAAGUCUGACUACAAAUUUUUCUUAAAGAAAAAAUCAAGUUAAAACUUUCAGCAACGGAUCUCUUGGUUCUC